UGGUCAAGCUACUAAGGGCGUACGGUGGAUGCCUUGGCACCAGGAGGCGAUGAAAGGCGUGGUAGGCUGCGAUAAGCUCCGGUGAGCUGCCUAACGAGCUUCGACCCGGAGAUUCCUGAAUGGGGCAACCCAUCCCGCAGAAAGCGGGAUACUCCAAUCUGAAUACAUAGGAUUGGAGGGCGAACAGGGGGAACUGAAACAUCUAAGUACCCCUAGGAAGAGAAAGCAAUAGCGAUUCCCAAAGUAGCGGCGAGCGAAAUGGGAACAGCCCAAACCGAAUGCGUGUUCAAGCCCGUAGGUGUUGCGUAUUCGGGGUUGUGGGGUCAGACCGGAGGAGGCUACGGACUCCUCGAGAAGUUACCAAGCCGUUUCAUAGUCGAAGUCGUUGGAAAACGAGGCCAUAGAGGGUGAUAGCCCCGUAGGCGAAAUGAAACGGUCUUCUUGGGUCUGGUUCCCGAGUACCACGGGACACGUGAAACCCUGUGGGAAGCUGGAAGGACCAUCUUCCAAGGCUAAAUACUCCCUGGUGACCGAUAGUGGACCAGUACCGUGAGGGAAAGGUGAAAAGAACCCCGGUGAGGGGAGUGAAAUAGUACCUGAAACCGUACGCUUACAAACUGUGGAAGGACUAUUGGAUUUGGGGCUCGCCCCAACAUCCAAGUCUGACUGCGUGCCUUUUGCAUAAUGAGUCAGCGAGUUACUUUGUGCAGCGAGGUUAAGCCGUGAGGUGGAGCCGCAGCGAAAGCGAGUCUGAAUAGGGCGUUUAGUUGCACGGAGUAGACCCGAAACCAGGUGAUCUAUCCAUGGCCAGGGUAAAGGUGGGGUAACACUCACUGGAGGCCCGAACCCACUAAGGUUGAAAACUUAGGGGAUGAGCUGUGGAUAGGGGUGAAAGGCCAAUCAAACCUGGAGAUAGCUGGUUCUCCCCGAAAUAUAUUUAGGUAUAGCCUCACAAAUUCAGUGGCGGAGGUAGAGCACUGGAUGGGCUAGGGGUCCUACCAGACUACCAAACCCAACCAAACUCCGAAUGCCGCCAACUGUUAUUGUGGGAGUCAGACUGCGGGAGAUAACUUUCGUAGUCGAGAGGGGAACAACCCAGACCGCCAGCUAAGGUCCCCAAAUGUAUGCUUAGUGGUAAAGGAUGUGGAACUGCUAAAACAACCAGGAGGUUGGCUUAGAAGCAGCCAUCCUUUAAAGAAAGCGUAAUAGCUCACUGGUCUAGUGGGGCCGCGCCGAAAAUAUAACGGGGCUCAAGCAUACUACCGAAGCUGCGGGUUUGUUUCGCCUCGGCGGAACAGACGGUAGGGGAGCGUUCCAGUUGCCUGUGAAGGCAGACCGAAAGGACUGCUGGAGGCCCUGGAAGUGAUUAUGCUGACAUGAGUAGCGAUAAACCCUGUGGGAAACAGGGUCGCCGGAAGCCCAAGGUUUCCUGGGGAAGGUUAAUCCGCCCAGGGUGAGUCGGCCCCUAAGCCGAGGCCGAAAGGCGUAGGUGAUGGGAAACAGGUUAAUAUUCCUGUACCACCGGGUUGGCGUUUGAGCGAUGGGGGGACGUAGAAGGGUAGGCCAUCCGGGUGUUGGAUGUCCCGGUUCAAGCCAGUAGGCGGGUUCGAUAGGCAAAUCCGUCGAGCCAUUUUAAACGCCGAGAGGUGAUGAGGAUCCGCUUUGCGGAGCAAACUGGCUGAUCCCAUGCUACCAAGAAAAGCCUCUAGCGAGUCAACCAGGUGACCGUACCGCAAACCGACACAGGUGGGCAGGGAGAGAAUCCUUAGGCGCUUGAGAGAACCCUCGUUAAGGAACUCAGCAAAAUGGCACCGUAACUUCGGGAGAAGGUGUGCCCCUGUUAGGUGUAGCAAUUCGCUUGCGAAGCCGAGAGGGGUCGCAGUGACCAGGCUCUGGCGACUGUUUACUAAAAACACAGGACUCUGCGAAGUCGCAAGACGACGUAUAGGGUCUGACGCCUGCCCGGUGCUGGAAGGUUAAGGUGAAUCGUUAUUGCCCGCUCCGGCGGGUGAGAAGCGGUGACCCGAAGCCCCAGUAAACGGCGGCCGUAACUAUAACGGUCCUAAGGUAGCGAAAUUCCUUGUCGGGUAAGUUCCGACCUGCACGAAUGGCGUAACGACUGGAGCGCUGUCUCAACGAGGGACUCAGUGAAAUUGAAGUGGCGGUGAAGAUACCGUCAACCCGCGGCUAGACGGAAAGACCCCGUGCACCUUUACUACAGCUUGACAGUGAAUUUCGGUAUGGCUUGUGUAGGAUAGGUGGGAGGCUGCGAAAUCCUGCCGCCAGGUGGGAUGGAGCCAUCCUUGAAAUACCACCCUGGUUAUACUGGAGUUCUAACUCGCGGCCGUGAAUCCGGUCGGAGGACACUGUCUGGUGGGUAGUUUGACUGGGGCGGUCGCCUCCCAAAGAGUAACGGAGGCGCGCGAAGGUUCCCUCAGGCUGAUUGGAAACCAGCCGUAGAGUGCAAAGGCAUAAGGGAGCUUGACUGCGAGAGAGACAUCUCGAGCAGGUGGGAAACCAGGUCUUAGUGAUCCGGCGGUUCCGUAUGGAAGGGCCGUCGCUCAACGGAUAAAAGGUACGCCGGGGAUAACAGGCUGAUCGGGCCCAAGAGUUCACAUCGACGGCCCGGUUUGGCACCUCGAUGUCGGCUCAUCGCAUCCUGGGGCUGAAGUCGGUCCCAAGGGUUUGGCUGUUCGCCAAUUAAAGCGGUACGCGAGCUGGGUUUAGAACGUCGUGAGACAGUUCGGUCCCUAUCUACCGCGGGCGCAGGAUAUUUGAGAGGUGCUGUCCCUAGUACGAGAGGACCGGGAUGGACGAACCUCUGGUGUACCAGUUGUCGCGCCAGCGGCAUCGCUGGGUAGCUAUGUUCGGACGGGAUAACCGCUGAAAGCAUCUAAGCGGGAAGCCCACCUCAAGAUGAGAUAUCCCUUCCCGCUUCGGCGGGAACUAAAGACCCCUCGAAGACCACGAGGUUGAUAGGCCGGAGGUGUAAGUGCGGUAACGCAUUAAGCUAACCGGUACUAAUCGGUCGUGCGGCUUGACCACAAACCC
rnacentral:rRNA from 1 species